rnacentral:rRNA from 1 species
AAUGAACGCUGGCGGCAGGCCUAACACAUGCAAGUCGAACGCCCCGCAAGGGGAGUGGCGCACGGGUGAGUAACGCGUGGGAAUAUGCCCUUCGGUUCGGAAUAACACAGGGAAACUUGUGCUAAUACCGGAUACGAUCUACGGAUGAAAGAUUCAUCGCCGAAGGAGUAGCCCGCGUAGGAUUAGCUAGUUGGUGAGGUAAUGGCUCACCAAGGCGACGAUCCUUAGCUGGUCUGAGAGGAUGAUCAGCCACACUGGGACUGAGACACGGCCCAGACUCCUACGGGAGGCAGCAGUGGGGAAUAUUGGACAAUGGGCGAAAGCCUGAUCCAGCCAUGCCGCGUGAGUGAUGAAGGCCUUAGGGUUGUAAAGCUCUUUCGCCAGGGAAGAUAAUGACGGUACCUGGAAAAGAAGCCUCGGCUAACUCCGUGCCAGCAGCCGCGGUAACAC